UACGUAGGGGGCAAGCGUUGUCCGGAAUUAUUGGGCGUAAAGAGCGCGUAGGCGGUCCGAUAAGUCGGCUGUGAAAGUCAGGGGCUCAACCCUUGAAAGCCGGCCGAUACUGUCGGACUAGAGUCCGGAAGAGGCAAGUGGAAUCCCGGUGUAGCGGUGAAAUGCGCAGAUAUCGGGAGGAACACCAAUGGCGAAGGCAGCUGCUGGGACGGUACUGACGCUGAGGCGCGAAAAGCGUGGGGAGCAACAGGG
rnacentral:rRNA from 1 species